UUCAAGUAUAUUCAUAUUUCCUAUAGUUUACUGAAAAUGUACUUAGACAAAUUGUACUUUUUGUAAAUAUAUAAAAAGUAUACUAACAUUACGCUUUCAUGCUAAUACUUUUAACACACUUUAACAUAAUUACACUAUGUUACACUUUAUAGAAAUAUAUUAUUAAAAAAGUAUACUUUAAGUGAAAGUUAUGUGUAAUUUCUAAAGUGUACUUAUUUUAAAUUUGUUUUUACAUAUAUUUUUGCUAUAUUUUAAAUUGUAUGCUCAAAGUUGUCAUUGUAACGUACAUUGAAAGCAUAUUUUAAAAGUACACAUUUUAAUAUCGACACUGUAAUAUUAAGUUUGAGUGCAUUUUAAGUUACAUUUGAAUCUAAUUAUGAAGUGAAGUUAUAUACGCUUGUACUUCAGGUAAUUCUUUUGGAAAGUGUUCAAUAGUAUAACUACAAAAAUGCACUUAAACCCUAUUAUGCAAUUUUGUGCUGUGUGUAAAGUACACAGAUAGCAAUUAUUGCAGUUGUUAUGUAAUGUUUAAUAAGUUUUGAAAAAGAAAUAUGAUACAAUACAUCUUACACACAAAACCACAUUGAACAAAACACUAAAUGUUCACUUCAAAAGUACAGGUGCACAAAAAUGUGUGUUCUGCUGAAAAGCAAGUGGUUUAAAGCUGGUGCAGUGCUACAUUAUGAUCUAACAAAUAGCAUAACCCACAUUGCAACAGAAAAGUUAAUACUGGCCAAAUGCAAAAGAAAUAAACUUAACACAUUACAAUUGUCUCAAGUGUUCAAAAAAGAACAUUUCAUUAGUAUUGUUUAAUGGAUCAAAGCAGGGCUACUGCAAACAAGACCAAUUGGUGAGUGCACAUAUUUAAAAGUCGCUGACAGCACUUCAUGCAUAUAGGAGUGAUAUGUGGAGGUUGUUUGGCCUUGAUGUCUGUAAAGUAGUAGCUCCCCAAGAAUUUUAGUCUUGGGGAGUUUUUGGUUCAGUACUGAUAUCAGAAUUCCCAUAGACUUUGAAUGCACCACACCUGCACAGCAGUUAGUCACGGCUCCUCCCUGCUCAGAGCUAGCGUGCUUUUCUUUUAAGGCCUUGGUCUGCAUGGAGAGAGGUAACUUUCAAAACAUUCCCAUUUGGUUUUGAAAUCUUAAGAUAUCUGUAUAAAACGCGAUUUUGAUUAUUAUAUUUGUAUUGUAGAAACAGGAGAUGUAAUCGGUUGAGCAGGAAGAUUUGCUGUAUUAUUGUGUUGAAGAAUAUCCUGGCUGUUUUUUUUUUUUUACAUAGUUGCAGAAUCUGCUGUUACAGCUGAGCGGUUCAUUGUAUGGACUGGACUAGACUCCACCAGAGAUGUUGAUGCAGAAUGUUCCCAAUUUGAAUGCCAUCCGGUUCCCUGGAGGGUGACGCUGUUCUUCUGGAGUUUCCGUAGACAAGUGUCUCUGAUGUGCGCACGGCCAUCAGACGAAAAUGUAACAAUGAGCAGUUCAGCCAAAAAAAGGAAAAUAAUGUGUGGUGGGCGUGUUUUUGUAUGGUGCGAGGGUUUAGGGGUGCAAUAAUAAGGAAUGUUGUUUUUCAUUGUUCAGUAUUCCUCUGCGUUCUUUAAAGUUUAUUUGUAAUGUUUAGGUCUGCUGCCUGAAAUUGACAUAUUUCUACAAAGUGUACUAAAGUACCAAUAUUUGAAAAUG